rnacentral:tRNA from 1 species
AGUGGUGUAGUUCAUUGAUAGAGCACUUGUCUGGAGUGCACAAGGUUCUGGGUUUGAUCCCCAGCACUACUA